CGCCCCUCGGGAGAAGAAGGCAAAUAAAUUUUGGCGCCUUGAAGCCCUCUUUGAACCCAAAACCAAACCAACCCACCUCCGUCCCCGCCAGGCGCUGCGAGUGGGCCCAUGUCGUCGAGGGCGGCGCACCAGAAGGCGGCAGCGGCGCCAGAGGAAGAGGCGGCGGAGUACGGGCCCUUCCCCAUCGAGCAGCUCCAGGCAUCUGGAAUAGCUGCACUCGAUGUAAAAAAGCUCAAAGAUGCUGGUCUUUGCACAGUGGAAUCUGUAGCUUACUCUCCAAGGAAAGAUCUUUUGCAAAUAAAAGGGAUUAGUGAAGCCAAAGUUGACAAGAUAAUUGAAGCAGCUUCCAAGUUGGUUCCACUGGGAUUUACUAGCGCUAACCAACUUCAUGCGCAGAGGCUUGAGAUCAUCCAAGUUACAACUGGAUCAAGAGAGCUUGAUCAAAUUUUGGAGGGAGGGAUAGAAACAGGGUCUAUCACAGAGAUUUAUGGUGAAUUUCGCUCUGGGAAGACUCAGUUGUGCCACACUCUCUGUGUCACAUGCCAGCUCCCAUUGGACCAAGGUGGUGGCGAAGGAAAGGCUCUGUAUAUAGACGCAGAGGGCACAUUCAGGCCGCAAAGACUCCUCCAGAUAGCAGACAGGUUUGGCUUGAUUGGUGCUGAUGUACUGGAAAAUGUGGCUUACGCCAGAGCAUAUAACACUGAUCAUCAAUCAAGACUUUUGCUGGAAGCAGCUUCCAUGAUGGUGGAGACCAGGUUUGCUCUUAUGGUUGUGGAUAGUGCUACAGCCCUAUACAGAACUGAUUUCUCUGGUCGAGGGGAGCUAUCAGCAAGACAGAUGCACCUGGCUAAGUUUCUUAGGAGCCUUCAGAAGUUAGCAGAUGAGUUUGGAGUGGCAGUGGUUAUCACUAACCAAGUGGUGGCUCAAGUGGAUGGUGCUGCAAUGUUUGCUGGGCCACAGAUCAAACCCAUCGGAGGGAACAUCAUGGCUCAUGCUUCCACAACUAGGCUUUUUGUUCGCAAGGGAAGAGGGGAGGAGCGGAUCUGUAAAGUAGUAAGCUCUCCCUGUCUGGCUGAAGCUGAAGCAAGGUUUCAGAUUUCAGCUGAAGGUGUCACUGAUGUUAAGGACUGAAAACUUCUCGGCAUCUGCAGUCCACAGCAUGCCUGGCCCAGAAAGGCCAAUGCUCUUAUGCAUCUCCGGUCUGCUGUUUGCAUUCUCACCACCAGAGAUGCUUGAAUCGAUGCUGGUCCCUUGUACAACCACAAUGGCAACCAAGAGCAAAUUUUGCAUUCCAUCUUACAUAGACUAAAGAAAAGGCCAUCAAAACUGCUACCCAGCUCUUGGAUUUGAGCUAAGACUGGCGUUAUCAAGUGCACCAGCUGCUGGGAAUCAGUUCCGAACACCACAUUCCACUAGUUCCAAUCUUCAACCAGGCAAACGCCAUCUCCAAGAGCUUGGCCAUCUGCUAUCAAAGAAUUGGGAGCAACAGCCGGAUACCAUUUCCAUGAAGCCACCAAUCCUGUCAUUUUGGGCAACCGUCGCAGAGUCGGCGUAGAGCGCAC